rnacentral:rRNA from 1 species
CUGGUUGAUCCUGCCAGAGGUCACUGCUAUCGGGGUUCGAUUAAGCCAUGCGAGUCGAGAGGGUUCAGACCCUCGGCGGACUGCUCAGUAACACGUGGAUAACCUGCCCUAAGGUGGAGCAUAACCCCGGGAAACUGGGGAUAAUACUCCAUAGGUUAGAGAUACUGGAAUGUUCUUUAAUCGAAAGUUCCGGCGCCUUAGGAUGGAUCUGCGGCCGAUUAGGUAGUUGUUGGGGUAACGGCCCAACAAGCCUGUAAUCGGUACGGGUUGUGGGAGCAAGAGCCCGGAGAUGGAAUCUGAGACACGAUUCCAGGCCCUACGGGGCGCAGCAGGCGCGAAAACUUUACAAUGCAGGAAACUGUGAUAAGGGUACCCCGAGUGCCCGUAUACGCGGGCUGUCCGGGUGUAUAAAAAGCAUCUGAGGAAAGGGCCGGGCAAGACCGGUGCCAGCCGCCGCGGUAAUACCGGCGGCUCGAGUGGUGACCACUUUUAUUGGGCUUAAAGCGUUCGUAGCUGGACUCUUAAGUCUCUUGGGAGAUCCCGCGGCUCAACCGUGGGGCGUUUAAGAGAUACUGGGAGUCUAGGAACCGGGAGAGGUAAGAGGUACUUCGGGGGUAGAAGUGAAAUUCUGUAAUCCUCGAGGGACCACCGAUGGCGAAGGCAUCUUACCAGAACGGCUUCGACAGUGAGGAACGAAAGCUGGGGGAGCGAACGGGAUUAGAUACCCCGGUAGUCCCAGCCGUAAACGAUGCGCGUUAGGUGUACUGGUGACCACGAGUCACUGGGGUGCCGAAGGGAAACCGUGAAACGUGCCGCCUGGGAAGUACGGUCGCAAGGCUGAAACUUAAAGGAAUUGGCGGGGGAGCACCAC